GGAAGUAGAAGUCGUAACAAGGUCUCCGUUGGUGAACCAGCGGAGGGAUCAUUACAGGACUCGCAAGACUCCUUCACCCUGUGAACUUAACUACAAGCACGUUGCUUCGGCGGGUGCCUCGGCGAGGGUCCUCCCUCCCCGGGGCGCGAAGCCCGCCGGCAGCCCACCAAACUCUGUCUCUCUGCGUUGGCAUCUCGAGUACAAUCAAACAAGUUAAAACUUUCAACAACGGAUCUCUUGGUUCUG
rnacentral:misc_RNA from 1 species